GCAUCGAUGAAAGAACNCAGCGAANUGCGAUAUACUAAUGUGAAUUGCAGAAUUCAGUGAAUCAUCGAGUCUUUGAACGCACAUUGCGCCCUCUGGUAUUCCGGAGGGCAUGCCUGUCCGAGCGUCAUU
rnacentral:rRNA from 1 species